GAUGAACGCUGGCGGCGUGCCUAAUACAUGCAAGUCGAGCGAACAGACGAGGAGCUUGCUCCUCUGACGUUAGCGGCGGACGGGUGAGUAACACGUGGAUAACCUACCUAUAAGACUGGGAUAACUUCGGGAAACCGGAGCUAAUGCCGGAUAACAUGUUGAACCGCAUGGUUCAACAGUGAAAGACGGUCUUGCUGUCACUUAUAGAUGGAUCCGCGCCGCAUUAGCUAGUUGGUAAGGUAACGGCUUACCAAGGCAACGAUGCGUAGCCGACCUGAGAGGGUGAUCGGCCACACUGGAACUGAGAAACGGCCCAGACUCCUACGGGAGGCAGCAGUAGGGAAUCUUCCGCAAUGGGCGAAAGCCUGACGGAGCAACGCCGCGUGAGUGAAGAAGGUCUUCGGAUCGUAAAACUCUGUUAUUAGGGAAGAACAAAUGUGUAAGUAACUAUGCACGUCUUGACGGUACCUAAUCAGAAAGCCACGGCUAACUACGUG
rnacentral:rRNA from 1 species